rnacentral:rRNA from 1 species
AUGACUGUACCCGAAUAAGAAGGUCCGGCUAACUUCGUGCCAGCAGCCGCGGUAAUACGAAGGGACCUAGCGUAGUUCGGAAUUACUGGGCUUAAAGAGUUCGUAGGUGGUUGAAAAAGUUGGUGGUGAAAUCCCAGAGCUUAACUCUGGAACUGCCAUCAAAACUUUUCAGCUAGAGUAUGAUAGAGGAAAGCAGAAUUUCUAGUGUAGAGGUGAAAUUCGUAGAUAUUAGAAAGAAUACCAAUUGCGAAGGCAGCUUUCUGGAUCAUUACUGACACUGAGGAACGAAAGCAUGGGUAGCGAAGAGGAUUAGAUACCCUCGUAGUCCAUGCCGUAAACGAUGUGUGUUAGACGUUGGAAAUUUAUUUUCAGUGUCGCAGGGAAACCGAUAAACACACCGCCUGGGGAGUACGACCGCAAGGUUAAAACUCAAAUGAAUUGACGGGGACCCGCACAAGUAGUGGAGCAUGUGGUUUAAUUCGAAGAUACGCGCAGAACCUUACCAACACUUGACAUGUUCGUCGCGACUCUAAGAGAUUAGAGUUUUCGGUUCGGCCGGACGAAACACAGGUGCUGCAUGGCUGUCGUCAGCUCGUGUCGUGAGAUGUUGGGUUAAGUCCCGCAACGAGCGCAACCCUCACUUUUAGUUGCCAUCAUUAAGUUGGGCACUUUGAAAGAACUGCCAGUGAUAAGCUGGAGGAAGGUGGGGAUGACGUCAAGUCCUCAUGGCCCUUACGUGUUGGGCUACACACGUGCUACAAUGGCAUCUACAACAGGAAGCAAAACGGCAACGUUAAGCAAAUCCCGAAAAGAUGCCUCAGUUCGGAUUGCACUCUGCAACUCGAGUGCAUGAAGCUGGAAUUACUAGUAAUCGUGGAUCA